rnacentral:rRNA from 1 species
UGGCGGACGGGUGAGUAACGCUGGGUAACCUGCCUUGUACUGGGGGACAACAGUUAGAAAUGACUGCUAAUACCGCAUAAGCGCACAGUAUCGCAUGAUACGGUGUGAAAAACUCCGGUGGUACAAGAUGGACCCGCGUCUGAUUAGCUAGUUGGUAAGGUAACGGCUUACCAAGGCGACGAUCAGUAGCCGACCUGAGAGGGUGACCGGCCACAUUGGGACUGAGACACGGCCCAA